rnacentral:rRNA from 1 species
GAAAGCCACGGCGAACUAUGUGCCAGCAGCCGCGGUAAUACAUAGGUGGGCAGCGUUAUCCGGAUUUAUUGGGCGUACAGGGUGCGUAGGCGGUUGUGUAAGUUUGAGGUUAAAUUCCGGAGCUCAACUCCGGUCCGCCUUGAAAACUACAUGACUAGAAUGCAAGAGAGGUAAAUGGAAUUCCAUGUGUAGCGGUAAAAUGCGUAGAUAUAUGGAAGAACACCUGUGGCGAAAGCGGUUUACCAGCUUGUUAUUGACGCUGAGGCACGAAAGCGUGGGGAGCAAAUAGGAUUAGAUACCCUAGUAGUCCACGCCGUAAACGUUGAGUACUAGGUGUCGGGAAUUAUCUCGGCGCCGCAGCUAACGCAUUAAGUACUCCGCCUGAGUAGUAUGCACGCAAGUGUGAAACUCAAAGGAAUUGACGGGGACCCGCACAAGUGGUGGAGCAUGUGGUUUAAUUCGAAGCAACACGAAGAACCUUACCAGGGCUUGACAUCCAGUGCAAAGGCAUAGAGAUAUGCUGGAGGCUAACAUUGAGACAGGUGGUGCAUGGUUGUCGUCAGUUCGUGCCGUGAGGUGUUUGGUUAAGUCCAGCAACGAACGCAACCCUUGUCAUUAGUUACUAACAUUUAGUUGAGGACUCUAAUGAGACUGCUAGUGUAAGCUAGAGGAAGGUGGGGAUGACGUCAAAUCAUCAUGCCCCUUAUGUCCUGGGCUACACACGUGCUACAAUGGCUGAUACAAAGAGUCGCAAUCUCGCAAGGAGGAGCUAAUCUCAUAAAAUCAGUCUCAGUUCGGAUUGAAGGCUGCAACUCGCCUUCAUGAAGCCGGAAUCACUAGUAAUCGCGAAUCAGCUAUGUCGCGGUGAAUACGUUCUCGGGUCUUGUACACACCGCCCGUCACACCAUGAGAGUUGGUAACACCAGAAGCAGGUAGCUUAACC